AGUGAACGCUGGCGGUAGGCCUAACACAUGCAAGUCGAACGGCAGCACAGGAGAGCUUGCUCUCUGGGUGGCGAGUGGCGGACGGGUGAGGAAUACAUCGGAAUCUACUUUUUCGUGGGGGAUAACGUAGGGAAACUUACGCUAAUACCGCACACGACCUACGGGUGAAAGCAGGGGAUCUUCGGACCUUGCGCGAUUGAAUGAGCCGAUGUCGGAUUAGCUAGUUGGCGGGGUAAAGGCCCACCAAGGCGACGAUCCGUAGGUGGUCUGAGAGGAUGAUCAGCCACACUGGAACUGAGACACGGUCCAGACGCCUACGGGAGGCAGCAGUGGGGAAUAUUGGACAAUGGGCGCAAGCCUGAUCCAGCCAUACCGCGUGGGUGAAGAAGGCCUUCGGGUUGUAAAGCCCUUUUGUUGGGAAAGAAAUCCAGCUGGUUAAUACCCGGUUGGGAUGACGGUACCCAAAGAAUAAGCACCGGCUAACUUCGUGCCAGCCGCCGCCGUAA
rnacentral:rRNA from 1 species